rnacentral:rRNA from 1 species
UGCCAGCAGCCGCGGUAAUACGGAGGAUGCAAGCGUUAAUCGGAAUUACUGGGCAUAAAGCGCACGUAGGCGGCUCAGUCAGUCGGAUGUGAAAGCCCCUGGCUCAACCAGGGAAUUGCAUUCGAUACUACUGGACUUGAGGGCAGCAGAGGAGAGUGGAACUCGUGGUGGAGCGGUGAAAUGCGUAGAUAUCACGAGGAACGCCGGUGGCGAAAGCGACUCUCUGGGCUGUUCCUGACGCUGAGGUGCGAAAGCCAGGGGAGCGAACGGGAUUAGAUA